rnacentral:rRNA from 1 species
GGAUCAGUGGCGAACGGGUGAGCCCACGGGGGGCAACCUGCCCUCAGCUCUGGGAUAACUCCAAGAAAUUGGGGCUAAUACUGGAUAUGACCGCUGACCGCAUGGUCUGGUGGUGGAAAGAUUUAUCGGCUGGGGAUGGGCCCGCGGCCUAUCAGCUUGUUGGUGGGGUAGUGGCCUACCAAGGCGACGACGGGUAGCCGGCCUGAGAGGGUGACCGGCCACACUGGGACUGAGACACGGCCCAGACUCCUACGGGAGGCAGCAGUGGGGAAUAUUGCGCAAUGAGGCGAAAGCCUGACGCAGCGACGCCGCGUGGGGGAUGACGGCCUUCGGGUUGUAAACCUCUUUCAGCAGGGACGAAGCGAAAGUGACGGUACCUGCAGAAUAAGCACCGGCCAACUACGUGCCAGCAGCCGCGGUAAUACGUAG